GAAUUUUAAAAUGAGCAAGCUAGGAGGAUGUAUGAGACUUUAUGACCAUGCGGGGGCUGAUUUCUCUCUGUCCUGUCUCUCAUAUUUCAUUAUUAAUUAGAAAUGUGAGACCUCCAAACACAAAACAAUCUUCUUCAUUAUGACCAAAUGAUCUGGUUUACCACCUACUUGUUGAAUAUUAAACACCCUCGCCUGAGUGUUUUGUUUUUAUACUUCAAUAAUACGAUUAAGUAGGUUUCCAUUCUCCUUCAUGUUGGUUGCAAUGAGCAGCUUUUUUUGAAGAGUCUGAUUGUUAUGUAAAUCCAGUUAUAGUUCAUAGUUAUUGUUGCCUCUGAAUGGGCGGUUUGAAUCAAAAUGCCAAAUGAAGCCUUUGUAAGUAAGAGGAGAUAUUGACAUGUAGCAUAUAGGGCUGGGACGAUACACCUAUGUCCUGAUUUGAUACUACUGAUUUGAUAUGUAUUGCAAUUUUUAAGUAUUGUGAUUUGAUAUUACGAUUUAUUGCGAUUUUUGUUAUCUUUUUUAACACUAGACCAUGGGAGAAAGUUGAAUCAUACACUUCUAGGGACUUUUACUUUCGAAAAUAUCUAAAUUAAUGCAGUACAAAUGAUUGAUUUUCAGCACGUAUGUAGUCAAAGAUGCCCUGAAGUCAAAUACAUCAGUCAUUAUUUAUAAUGACUAUUAAAUAUUUUUCUCCACUGA